rnacentral:rRNA from 1 species
GACGAACGCUGGCGGCGUGCUUAACACAUGCAAGUCGAACGGAAAGGCCCUGCUUUUGUGGGGUGCUCGAGUGGCGAACGGGUGAGUAACACGUGAGUAACCUGCCCUUGACUUUGGGAUAACUUCAGGAAACUGGGGCUAAUACCGGAUAGGAGCUCCUGCUGCAUGGUGGGGGUUGGAAAGUUUCGGCGGUUGGGGAUGGACUCGCGGCUUAUCAGCUUGUUGGUGGGGUAGUGGCUUACCAAGGCUUUGACGGGUAGCCGGCCUGAGAGGGUGACCGGCCACAUUGGGACUGAGAUACGGCCCAGACUCCUACGGGAGGCAGCAGUGGGGAAUAUUGCACAAUGGGCGGAAGCCUGAUGCAGCAACGCCGCGUGCGGGAUGACGGCCUUCGGGUUGUAAACCGCUUUCGCCUGUGACGAAGCGUGAGUGACGGUAAUGGGUAAAGAAGCACCGGCUAACUACGUGCCAGCAGCCGCGGUGAUACGUAGGGUGCGAGCGUUGUCCGGAUUUAUUGGGCGUAAAGGGCUCGUAGGUGGUUGAUCGCGUCGGAAGUGUAAUCUUGGGGCUUAACCCUGAGCGUGCUUUCGAUACGGGUUGACUUGAGGAAGGUAGGGGAGAAUGGAAUUCCUGGUGGAGCGGUGGAAUGCGCAGAUAUCAGGAGGAACACCAGUGGCGAAGGCGGUUCUCUGGGCCUUUCCUGACGCUGAGGAGCGAAAGCGUGGGGAGCGAACUGGCUUAGAUACCCUGGUAGUCCACGCUGUAAACGGUGGGUACUAGGUGUGGGGUCCAUUCCACGGGUUCCGUGCCGUAGCUAACGCUUUAAGUACCCCGCCUGGGGAGUACGGCCGCAGGGCUAAAACUCAAAGGAAUUGACGGGGCCCCGCACAAGCGGCGGAGCAUGCGGAUUAAUUCGAUGCAACGCGUAGAACCUUACCUGGGUUUGACAUGGAUCGGGAGUGCUCAGAGAUGGGUGUGCCUCUUUUGGGGUCGGUUCACAGGUGGUGCAUGGCUGUCGUCAGCUCGUGUCGUGAGAUGUUGGGUUAAGUCCCGCAACGAGCGCAACCCUUGUUCACUGUUGCCAGCACGUUAUGGUGGGGACUCAGUGGAGACCGCCGGGGUCAACUCGGAGGAAGGUGGGGAUGACGUCAAGUCAUCAUGCCCCUUAUGUCCAGGGCUUCACGCAUGCUACAAUGGCUGGUACAGAGAGUGGCGAGCCUGUGAGGGUGAGCGAAUCUCGGAAAGCCGGUCUCAGUUCGGAUUGGGGUCUGCAACUCGACCUCAUGAAGUCGGAGUCGCUAGUAAUCGCAGAUCAGCAACGCUGCGGUGAAUACGUUCCCGGG